CCCCACCUCUUUUCUAAUUCUUAAUCCUCGGUCUUUUGAGGCCACGUACGGAAUGCGAGAUUCAACACUUCGUCUACUGUCAAACCCACAAUCAUCGUCACUCUUUGCUCUGAUAGCCAUGUUAGUGACGCCUUUCUUUGCUCAAUGCCCUUAAAUUUCAUCUAGAAAUUCUUAAGCGGCCACUACAACUGUUAUGGUCAUUCCUAUAUCUCCGAACAACCCUUUUUCAUUCUCGGACAUGUCGAAUCUCCAUGCUGCCUCCGUUGAAAUCGCUUAAUUUGGCUUCUAUCUCCGCUGGGAUGACUCUCUUCUAUUCCCCCCUCCGGAGUGUAUCCGACAGUUGGUGAGGGGGUGGGUACAACAAUAUCUUAAGAAAAUUUUGAUUAUUAGUCGAUAGUUUGAUCCAUUUGAUGAUCGUGGCCGUAGGCGUUUGUAUUUAAACUAGAAGUCCAUAGGCUAAUAUUUUUUCAGGGCAAUCUCCGGCAUAGGAGGAGCAGCGGUUGCAUCUGGGGAAGAUGAUGGGGAAGAAGGCUAAGACGGUGAAAUUAUGACAGUUUCACAGUAGUAGAUGAUGAAUUGUCAUAGCCAAAAAUAUGUUUGUAUUGCAAAUUUACAAUGAUAUAAACAUAAAUACGUUUGACUUUCCCCUAAAGAACCUAACGCAUAUUUGAUCCAAAAAAAGAACCUAACACAUAAUAAAUCAGUCUGAUCCAAAAAAAUUCAAAUUGUUGUGAAACUAGAGAAUAUAAUAUAUUAGGGUGGGUCCGCGCUACGCGCGGGAUAUGCUCUACAUGUGUCUACUUAUGUUUUAUAAAUUAUAAUCGUAUGUGUGUUGUAUAAGAAAGUAGUAGAGAACUACAUUAUAGUGUCUGUGUUUUUUUAGGAUAUUUUUGUUUUUUUUUGUUUUUUUUUAUAUUUAGAUAGUUUUGGUGUAAGUUUUAUGGUUUUUAUAAGGAUGAAAUCAUAAUUCGUAUGAUUAAAAUAUAAUUCAAUUAUCGAGUCUAUGAAUAACGGGGUUAACUUGUAGUAAUGUUUGUAGUUGAAACAUGUGAUACUUCUUUAGUCAAAAAAAAAAAACUUAACUCCAUAGAUAAUUCGUUAGGUUAUGUCUCCGAUAAUCAUUUUUACAAAACCAUCACCAUAGACCAAUCACCCUAGCAUGAAUCUUGGUCCUUGCUUAGAGAAGAAUACGUACUAAUAAUAAUAUUUUUAUUUUACUUUUGCACAGAAAUUUAUUUAAGGGUUUUUUAUAACUGUUAUGUAUUUCCAUAUAAAAAGAACGUUAUUAGGAUGGACAUUUCGGUUUAAUUAUGAAUUUGGUUUGGGUUUGGUUCGGUCUGGUUUAUUUAAGUCUAAGAAAAAUUUAACCAAAGUUAAUCUAUAUUAGUUUGAUUUGGUUUAUGUUCGGUUUGGUUCUAUUUGGUUUGUGUUCGGUUUGGUUUUAUUGCAGUUUGGUUUGUGUUCGGUUCAGUUUAAUUUGGUUUUAUUUAUGUUUAUCAGUUUGUUCGAUGUUUUAGUUUUCUUUAAGUUAAACUACAAAAUAUAUGUAUACAACACAAACAAAUCAUCAUUUUACAUUAAAUCGUUAUUUUCUUUACAUUUAUACAUAAAACCAAACAUCACAAUAAAAAUGUAGAGGACGUAAUCCAAUAUCAUAAAUAAUUAUUCAGUUCUGAUAUUAAUGUUUGAGAUUCAUACUUUUUAUUAUUUUUAGUUGUUUUUAUUCUAUUUAUUUAGAAGUAAAAUGUAUAAAUUAUAUAUAGUUGUAUAGGUUAAAUAGUUAAAUAUAUUAAAUCUUAAUAUUAUUAGUAUAAUUAAUCUAAUUGAAAAAUAUUUCAUUUUCAGUUCGAUUUGGUUUAAAACCAAACCAAACCAAACCAAACUAUUUGGGUUGGCAAAAUUUUGAAUCAAAUGGUUUAGGCAUAUACUUUGGUUCGGUUUGGGAUCGGUUCGCUUUGGUUAGGUUUUUUUUUUUUCACCUCCACACCUGCACGCAAACAUGAAUAUUUUUUAAAAAAUAAAAUAGAAUAUUUCUGUAUUUUUUAUUUAACUUUAUUGUUAUUUAUUAAAUUUGUUGGGUAUUUUAACUAUUUGAUUUUGUAAAAUAUUCAAUUUAGUCAUGUUUUUAUUUUUCAGCUUCUAAUUUGGUUUAAAUUUGUUAUAGUUAGUUAAAUAUGGUUAUAUAUAUAUGGUUAUUAAUAUUGUAAUUUCAUAUUUUGAUUAUUUUAGUUAAUGUUUUGGGGAUUCUACGAAUUAUAAAAACUUAGUAAUCACUUUAAAGUUCAUAAACUAAUGAAAUACAUAAAUUGAGAAAAACAAAAAUCAAAUUUAGGCAUACUUUGGACCAAAGUUGCAUAAUUUAUAAUAUGAUAUUAGUAUUUAAUUUUAUAAACUAAAGUAAAGAAUAAUCAUUCUAAUCAAAGAUAAUUUACUCUUUUCAUCUUUUCUUUUAGUAGAUAUGUGGCUUAACUAAUUAAAUAUUAAAUAAUAAAACUACGAAUAUUUAAAAUAGUAAACAAAUGUUUAGUGGGUGGAGAAUUUUAUAGGGGAUGUUAUGCCCCGAGCCAUAUGUCGUCUUUUCCUUUUGUUUAUUGAAACGGAGCUGCAUCUGACUUAGCUAAGAUCUGUUUUGAUAAAAUUGUUUUUUUAAUGGUAUUUAUUUUGUAUAAGUACGAUGUCAAUAUUGGACAAUUACUUUCUGAAAAUAGAAUGUGUGCCGGUUUAGUAGAAGUAAACAACUCGCAGUGUCUCUUAAAUUAACAUAAACUUUUGUUCUGAAGUUGCCACGGCUUCCACUGUUUAAACAGGAGAACAUCUGUCUUCACCUGCUGUUACUGAGGCUUAUGGCGGUUCAUCGGAUGCUUGAACUAAUCCAUUGUGUGUGUUUUUGAAAAAUAUUUUUGUUAGGUAAACCUUUAUAUUUUUGUUAAAUUACAUAUUUGUGUUAUAUUAUGUAUUUUGUUAUAUUGUGUAUUUCACUAAAUUGUAGUUCUAUUUAUUUUAUAUUUACUAUUUUGGAUAAUUGUUUACAAAAUUAUUUUUGAUGGUGUGUUAUUUUUUCUUUUUGGUUUUCUAUUAAAUAUUUAAUUUAUCUCAAUUUGAAUUUGGUCAGGAAAAGGAUAACCUUUGAUUAUUUCAUUCAUUUUUUCCUUGGCUUGAGUUUGAUGAAGUACAAAAUAUUUAUUGCAAUAAUAAUUGUUUUAUACUAUAAACAAAAAAUAUUUCACAACAAUUGUUUUAUCCUUUGUGGAAUAGAAAAGUCACAACGAAUCACUAUCAUUUUACCAAUAAAGUUAACAGACUAUUAAAUGUCUUGAAGUUAAUAUUGAGAAUUUUGUAUACGUUUAACAAAGACAAAUAGCUCAUGCAUUUGUUUGUUUUACGUUAUCUUCUGAUUAUUUUCUUUUAUAAGUGAAAAGAAUAAAAACAGUUAGUACAUUAUUUAAAAUCUCACUUUGGUGUUUAGAAAGGUUUUGAGAGAGAAGUACAAAGUUCUUUAUAAAUUUGCUUAGAUGAUUAGGAAUGAGAGCACAAUAUCAAAUGUCUCCGUGAAUUUGAUUCCCUUCGUCUUCACUUCCAAUUUAAAACACACAUACUUGUAGACCAUAGUGAUCAACUUAAUGGCUAAGUGCAGCAGAGAGACAGGGAGACAUCUUCUGUAGUUUAACACAAACAAUUGAUUCUACGGAGAAGGUCAGGUAACAUAUAAUUUGAAGCUCAAGAGACAUCAAACAAAUUUUGAUGGUAUUCUUCAGAUCAUAGGAGUCCUUAAAUUUUUGUAAGUUCUUAGAAACCUGCACAAUGAAAACAUAUUCUAAGCCAAUCAACAAAGAUUAGAAAACAGAACAAAAUUUAUUGUUUUAUCAUGGAUUAAAUCUACUAUACAUUGAUUAGCAUCUCUGUGAUGAUAAUGCGGCUGAUUUCUUCAAGGCCUUUGAGAGUGGUUACUUCACCUCCAACAACCAUGUUUAUAACAAUUUCACCUUAAAGAGAAAGUUUGAAAUGUUAAUAUAGGCUUUAACGAUGAUGAACAAAGCAGUGUGCUUUCGAGAAAGAACUUGAAGAUAAGCAACUUGUUAUACUCACCGAAAAUAAAACCCAGCUCUGAACUUUUUUUAAGCACCCUACCAGACAACUUUUCCUAUACCGCAUUCAUAUUGAGUUCUCGUCAUAACCAUCAAACCAUUAAUGUAUUGCAGAGAACUAAUCUCAUAAAAGACCACAAAAAAAUAUCCUUUGAGAAGAAAUUGAUGUCUGUAGAAUACAUUUCUUGCUUUGCAGUGUAUGAGAAUCGGAUGUAUUUUUAGAUCCACAGCGAAAAGGAAACAUUUACUUUUAUGAAACAGCAUAUAAGAAGAGCCUAUAGAAAUCAAAAAGAUUGUGUUAGGUGAUGGAUUCCUUACCAACUAAGAUUUUGAGAACAUCCAAAACUGUAUCUUUUGGCAUAAGAGUUGGAAGAUUCUACAAAAUCAUAAACGAUUAAGUUAUAAGAAAUCAACAGUAACUCAAAGAGCAUAAGAAUGCAAAUUAGAAACAAACAAAUUAACUGAAGGAGAAUAGCAAGAAACCAAUAAAAAUCUAAACUUUCUUAGAUUGAAAACCUUAUAAGAUCUCAAAGAGAGAAUUUUUUUAGGAUGAUGUUUACGGUAUGAAGGAUUACCUUUUUAUAGUUGCAGAUGCAUCUCUUGGAAGAGAGUGCAGAUGCAUUGAAUGAGGAAGAGUGGAUCGAAGAGUUAAGACGUUCGUUAAUGGUAAUGAUUCAAUGCAUUCCGUAACGGUUCGGAAGAGAAGAAUCCCAGUAUACACAAAACGAACUGAGCUCGAUGAGAUAUUCUCCAUGAAGAUCUACCGCAAAAAAAACCCAUCAGAAGUCACCAUUGUUGUUGAAGCUUUCCAGAUAUCAGAGAAGAGGUGAACCCUAACUGGUAGCUGUCGUGAAAAGAUUAGCUCACAAACGGGCUGAGAUUCUGUACAUUAAAACCUAAAUAACCUAAGACAAAACUCCAACAGCAAGGCCCAUCUCGUAUCUAAACAAAAACUCAACAAAGAUUUUAUGACAGGGACACGUGUCGUCACCACGGAGCACGAAUUUAUGACGUGGAAUCAUAGGUGGCAUGCCCCAGGAGAGAGCAAAUCAUACUUUAUAUAUAUAGAUAGAUAGAUGUUUUUGUAUUAUUUAUAAACAUAAGGAGCUCUUUAUAUAUAUGGAAUUGCACCGUCAUAGAAUAAUGGAAAGACUAAAGAAAGGAAAUACAAAUAGUAGAUGAUGAAUUGUCAUAGCCAAAAAUAUGUUUGUAUUGCAAAUUUACAAUGAUAUAAACAUAAAUACAUUUGACUUUCCCCUAAAGAACCUAACGCAUAUUUGAUCCAAAAAAAGAACCUAACACAUAAUAAAUUAGUCUGAUC
rnacentral:lncRNA from 1 species